CUUGAGGCCAUACAGAACUUCGGGUCCUGGCUGAACUUCCUGGAGAGCCUGACUUUUCUCUUCAUCAAUGUACCUGGUGAGAAGGGAAAAAAUGAAGGCUUAGGGUGUGUAAUAGUUCAGUGGAUCGAUUUCCUUCCCGCCAACUCCAUCAUGAGUGAUGCCCGAACUUCCGCUGAUGGCCUCUAGAAGCCGCGGUACCAGCCGGCUUUCCUCUCCAAAGGUGAGCCUGGGAAAGGAGAAGAAAGCUCACGCUGAGGCCCAGAGUGAAAGAAAUAAAGCCACCGCAACAAAAAUGACCCAGCCUUAGAAGGCCGUCGGCACGUCCCAGAGGAACCCAGGAUGACUCGUGGGAACGCCUAAUUAGAACUGAUGUACAGUAUGUGUGUACAGUAUGAGGGUUACCACGUGGUGCGAACUGGCACAAUUCAGAAAAUCACAGCUAGAGAUGAACUCUAGGUUAAGAAGAGCCCAGGUCUGAGUGGGAGGGUCCCGUUCACCUGUGCGCUCAGCAUCUCCUGACCAGUGACUGAGCAAGCCUUCAUGUCUGUGACUCUUACCGCUGGGAAAAGUGCCUGGCUUUAGAAAAGAUGUUUGAGGGGCCCUACGGUGACAAGAACUCAACAUCUAUGGAUAAAAGCCGUGAGAUGUCAGAAGUUUAAGAUGUGCAGUGUUUAACCAAAUCUUGAAAGAGAAGCGAACCUCCCAUCAGCUGUUAGCUGUCCGGAAGAUGGACAGCAGCGGCUACAGUCAACAUUCUACCCAGUACCCUUGAAUUCAGCUAUAAUCCAGAAGUAAGAAAAUGCAUCUCCUCUGGAAACUGCCUUAUAAUGUCCUUUAUUACGAAGGCUAUGAAGGCUAUGAAGCUUAAAGCGUUCACCCCAGAAGCCUCAGAUUGAAUGAAGCACAUAAUGGAUGGGUCAGCCUGCCGUUGUUCCUCAGUCCAGGUGGUCGCUUGCCACUGUCUUGUUCUGCCUUUUUUGUUUCUAGUCUUUAUUUAAAAAUGAUACUUUAGAAAACUUGAUGAGAAAGCAAAUUUCCUUAAAGCAACUAUUUUGGCUUUCUGGUCUCCUCUUUUUGUCUGUAUGUUCCCAUGUUUUCUGUGCGGUGUUUAUUUUGUUUUUCUGCAUUUCUGAUCAGGGUUAUAACCUUUACAUAUUUUAAAUCCAACUGUGUGGUUGGCACCAGUGUUAAUGUGGGUAAUCUCUGCUCCUUUGUGAGUGUAGAAUUUAAUUUCUAAACUUUGGCAUUUUUAAAGCAUCCCAACAUCCUAUUAGG